rnacentral:rRNA from 1 species
GACGAACGCUGGCGGCGUGCCUAAUACAUGCAAGUUGAGCGCUGAAGGUUGGUACUUGUACCAACUGGAUGAGCAGCGAACGGGUGAGUAACGCGUGGGGAAUCUGCCUUUGAGCGGGGGACAACAUUUGGAAACGAAUGCUAAUACCGCAUAAAAACUUUAAACACAAGUUUUAAGUUUGAAAGAUGCAAUUGCAUCACUCAAAGAUGAUCCCGCGUUGUAUUAGCUAGUUGGUGAGGUAAAGGCUCACCAAGGCGAUGAUACAUGGCCGACCUGAGAGGGUGAUCGGCCACAUUGGGACUGAGACACGGCCCAAACUCCUACGGGAGGCAGCAGUAGGGAAUCUUCGGCAAUGGACGAAAGUCUGACCGAGCAACGCCGCGUGAGUGAAGAAGGUUUUCGGAUCGUAAAACUCUGUUGGUAGAGAAGAACGUUGGUGAGAGUGGAAAGCGCAUCAAGUGACGGUAACUACCCAGAAAGGGACGGCUAACUACGUG